rnacentral:lncRNA from 1 species
GAAGCUUAAAUCCUAGUUUAUGUGUUGCUUUGUAAGGGGCUAUUUUGCAUCCACUAGUUUAAUGCUAUGGUUAGACUUUGUCUUAAUUCUUCUUUCAUAGUUGCGGAUGCUUGCGAGAGGGGUUAAUCAUAAGUGGGAUGCUUGUUCAAGUAAGGGCAGUACCCGAGCGCCAGUCCACCCACGUAUCAAACUAUCAAAGUAACAAACGUGAAUCAUAUGAACAUGAUAAAAACCAGCAUGACAGAAAUUCACGUGUGUCCUCGGAAUUGGGCCACUUUGCUGCACCGUUGCUACUUUUGUUACUUGUUGCUUGCUAAGAAUCAUCUCACCACACAAUCACUUGUUACCGACAAUUUCAGUGCCUGCAGAUUUUACCUUGCUGAAAACCACUUGUCAGAUCCUUCUUCUCCUCGUUGGGUUCGACACUCUUACUUAUCGAAAGGACUAUAAUUGAUCCCCUAUACUUGUGGGUCAUCAUUGACCAACCUGAGGAUCCACAAAAAUCUCAAACGUGCUUCAAUUACACAAACAAUACCUGAAGUAGUAGAUCAGUCAUCGUCGUGCACUCCACUGAGUUGAGAGUGGGGAGGGAGAGUGCACUCCUCUGUUCUGUGCAUGAAGAAAGCUAUGGCUUAAAUGAAACUACAUUCUGGUGUUGUGCAGUUCAGUGAAAAUUGAAAAGUGUUGUGCUUCAGUUCCGUUCCUGCACCAUUGAAUUCAACAAAUAACAUCAAAGAAUUACAUGUAAAAUUGGAUUAGGCAUUCAUUUCAAAUCAGCGGCAAUUCAUAUGAUCCAAGGAAGAUUGUCAAAGUGAUGAAUGUGAAGCCAUGAAUCAGCACACACAAGCAACCCAGAUCAGAAAUUGAUGCAUCCUACCCUACUAAUUGAAUGGUGCAGGUUACUACAUGCUUAAAUCAAUUAUCGUGGUACAACUUUGUAAGACAUAAACGAAGAAAGAAGGAUCAGUUCAGGUACACAAGGUGGAUGAUUUGCUUCUCCCAAUUAGUGCAAUACAAAUUUCCAAGAACCAAAUAUUUAAUCAGGCACGACAGUGUUGUUAAUUCAAAAGUGCACACCACUUAUCAACAUAUGGAAGCGACGCUCGGCUAUGUGAGAGGAGGGGAUUGGGGCUCGACUAUGCAGGAAGGUCGGUAGGGUAUGCCACGGCCCCGCACUGGCGGCCGCAGGAGUCGAUGCUCCACUCGAGCACGCGAGCGCG